AUUGAACGCUGGCGGCAGGCCUAACACAUGCAAGUCGAGCGAGCGGCGGACGGGUGAGUAAUGUCAGGGAAACUGCCUGAUGGAGGGGGAUAACUACUGGAAACGGUAGCUAAUACCGCAUACCAUCAGAUGUGCUCAGAUGGGAUUAGCUAGUAGGUGGGGUAACGGCCAACCUAGGCGACGAUCACUAGCUGGUCUGAGAGGAUGACCAGCCACACUGGAACCGAGACACGGUCCAGACUCCCACGGGAGGCAUCAUGGGGGAUUAGGGGAGUAUGGGGGCAAGCCUGAUGCAGCCAUGCCGCGUGUGUGAAGAAGGCCUUCGGGUUGUAAAGCACUUUCAGCGGGGAGGCGUUACCCGCAGAAGAAGCACCGGCUAACUCCGUGCCAGCAGCCGCGGUAAUAC
rnacentral:rRNA from 1 species